rnacentral:rRNA from 1 species
AGGGAAUCUUCCGCAAUGGACGAAAGUCUGACGGAGCAACGCCGCGUGAGCGAUGAAGGUCUUCGGAUCGUAAAGCUCUGUUGUCAGGGAAGAACAAGUACGAGAGUAACUGCUCGUACCUUGACGGUACCUGACCAGAAAGCCACGGCUAACUACGUGCCAGCAGCCGCGGUAAUACGUAGGUGGCAAGCGUUGUCCGGAAUUAUUGGGCGUAAAGGGCUCGCAGGCUGUUCCUUAAGUCUGAUGUGAAAUCUUGCGGCUUAACCGUAAGCGGUCAUUGGAAACUGGGGGACUUGAGUGCAGAAGAGGAGAGUGGAAUUCCACGUGUAGCGGUGAAAUGCGUAGAGAUGUGGAGGAACACCAGUGGCGAAGGCGGCUCUCUGGUCUGUAACUGACGCUGAGGAGCGAAAGCGUGGGGAGCAAAC